UCCACUCCACCACCUCCAGCAUGAGCUGUGACGAGAUGAGCCGCCGCCGCCGCCGCCGCCCACGCUCGCCGCCGCCGCCGCCCGCGCCGGUGCCGCCGCUGGAGGACGACAACCUGCUCUCCGAGAUACUCCUCCGCCUCCCGCCAGAUCCGUCCUCCCUCCCUCGCGCCUCCCUCGUCUCCAAGCGCUGGCUCGGCCUCGUCUCCGACCCCGGCUUCUGUCGCCGCUUCCGCCUCCACCACCGCCACAACCCUCCUCUCAUUGGUUUCUUCGAGGGCUUCCGUUUCCAACCUACGAUGGAUCCCCCCAAUCGUGUCCCGGAUGGCCACUUCUCCGUGCGCAUCGACACCGGCGGCAUGUUCAGGAAUUUUGGAUCCCGCCAUGGCCUCCUACUCACCUUCCACGGAACAGGGAACCAGCUCCUGGUGUGGGACCCCUUCAACGUCGCCCAGCACCGCGUAGCCGUUCCCCCAGGGUUCGAUGAGAAGAAGCACUUUAUCAGUGGGGCGGUGUAUCGCGCCGCCGGAGACAUCCAACACUUCCAGGUGGUCUUGGUAAGCGCAGAGACAGACGAGCUUCAGCAUAGACAGGUCAUCGCCCGCGUUUACUCGUCGGAGACUGGCGCAUGGGGUGAUCGCAUCUCAACACCAUGUUCAUCCAAACUUCCCACCAAUAUGGGCUUUAGUCUGAGUGUGCUAGUUGGGCAUUCCCUUUACUGGUUGUUCGUGGACAUAUCGACUGGCAGAGUGGAUGGCAUAGUUGAGUUUGAUUUGGAGAUGCAGAUCCUAGCUGUGAAACCGAUGCCAGUCGAUAUUGCCAAGGAAAAACAGGGCAAAUUCCAGCUUAUGCGGGCAGAGGGCGGUGGCCUUGGUAUUUUCUUUCUGUUAAAAUUCAGCGCCCAGUUAUGGAAGAUGGAGACCGAUUCUGAUGGUGUUGCAUCAUGGGUGCUCGGAAGAACCGUUGAACUGGACAAGCUACUUCCCUUGAAUCUAGAAGAGGAAGAGAACUCAGAAGAGGAGGAGUGCUCAGAAGAGGAAGAUAACGAGUUCCCAUUCCCAGGUAUACAAGGGUUUGCUGAAUACAAUAAUGUGGUUUUCCUGUGGACACAUAUCCACAACUUCACAGUCCAGCUUGAGUCACUGCAGUUCAAGAAAGUGUCCAGAACACACAUGCUGGCUCGCUAUCAUCCAUUUGAAAGUGCCUAUGCUGCAGCUACAGUGCAGAUGCUUCUCAAGAUGAGAUACGUUACGUUUGGAAAUUGAGACAACUACAUGAAAGAAAAAACAGCAUGAACCAAGUGAGAUGUCGAAUAGGCGUGGGACGUCGUGCGGACGAGCUUGUCAGCACUGGCACCCGGGCUGCCAAAGCAACACCGGCGCCCGAGCAGCAAGGCCCGAGCGACCAACGGAGCAGCGGCGCCCGAGUUGAGGCAGCCGACGAGCCUGACGCAGCCGUCCCGACGCAGCCGAGGACGAGGCCGGCGAGGUAGACCGCCGGGCCGUCAUGCAGACGCGGCGGAGGCGGGUGAUGUGGAUCGAUGGGCGGGUCGGCGCGCGAGCGACGGCUAUGAUUGGUUGUCGCAUGGCGCGAGGCCGUCGGGUCGGGGAGAUGCAGGUGUCCCGGUCGAAGCAGGGCGACGGGCGGACCGACGCGCGGACGACGGCUGGCCCUGACGGGCCGCCCCGGCGCGCGUGGCCGUCGGGUCGGAGGAGAGGCCGGCUGGUCGCGCCGGGGUCGGAGUAGAGGCGCUCGGGGUCGACGGCGGCGGUGGGCGACGCAAACCGAUCAAGAAUAGAUCAGAAAACCAAAAAGAAACCGCGCGAUCAAGAUGACCGGCGGUAGAGAGAAAACCCUGGAGCAAGGCUCGGGGAAAAGACUCUCUAGGGCAGCCGGUCAACACGACCGGCGGACGAACCCUAGGUACGGGCGGCGCGGCACCCGCCGACGGUCAUGGAAGCCGACCGCCCCGGGGGCGACGCGCGGGUGCGGAAGCGGCGGCGGCUAGGGUUUAGGAUCGACUUGCGAUAGUAUAAUGUAUCCGAGCCAAGAGGUCUUGGGUUCAAGACCUCUUGGCUCGGAUACCAUGUUAGAAGGGAGAGAGGGAUUCGGUGGAAUAGUUCGUUGUAUUGCUUGAGCCUGGUGGGCAUAUAUAUAGGAGUACAAUGACCAACUUGGAGUACAAGACAAGGUAGGAACAAAUCCUAGUCUAUCCUAUACUUCCUAAUAUACAUUAUACUCAACAUUACUAAUCUUACAUCCACAAUAAUGACUUGGUUUGAUACUUGAAAAACAUUUGUUCUGCCAGUGGCAAGUUAGAAAAAUAAUAAUUUGAGUUUAUUUCAUCUUUGCUGGUUAAAUGUAUUCGAACAUAUGAAUAGUCAUGAUCCUUUUUAUUGCUAGAGUUUAUUAGUAUGGCUAUAUUUUAUUUUAUCCGAUAUGGCAUGGAGCGAGCUUAAGCAUAAUUUUAGGUAACCUGCCCCUUCAGGUCAGGUCAGCUAAUAGUCUGAGAGCGCAUAUUCUUCAUUUUUAUGACACUAGUGAGUAAAUUCUUUUUUGAGAAUAUUCUCUUUAUUUGAUAGUAGAUGGGUAUAUGUUUAUCUACUCAUCGUCAUGAUAUAUUAAACCCGAGUUAUUUUCCUCAAAUUAUAUAUGUGUGCUUAUCCAAAUAUCUCAUCGAUUUCCCCUCGUAUCUACUUAAUCUGAUACGAAUGGUACUAUUAGUGCAUAGCUGCAGUGCAGAUGUUUCUCAAGACGAGAUACAUAAUGGUUGGAAUGCCCCCUUGUAGGCACGGGCAUUGGUGGUGGACAUGAUGGGACUAAACUUUUGCACAAUACCUAAGAUGAUUGGUCAGAUGGAUAUGCUAGUGUGGUGUAUUAAUAGAGUAAGUAAGCUUAUCUUUAAAUAGUAGCACAAUGAAAUAUUUCCCUUUCUUUUGCUUCAUUGAUAAUUUCUGUUUACUUUUACGGGUUGCAACAUUGCAUUUGCUAUUUUUGUGGCUACGAAUCCAAGCGUGAUUUGUAAGUUGUCCCCUGUACACGAGUAAUUGAUGCCCAACAAUACUGAGCAUUUGGCUUUGAACUUCGUUUUUUUAAACUAGGGCCUAUAUAAAUUGCCAUCUCACAUUGCUGUUCACUGGGAUUGUUGUAAUGCCGAGUGCUUCGUUGCAAUUUUUUAAUAAUCUUACUUGAUAUAUCUGGUUGUUUUCAGUAACUCUAUAGUUUAUUUUUUUCUCAUCCUCACUAAUUACUCCCUCCGUUCCUUAAUAUAAGACCUUUUAACUACUCCCUCCGUUCCUAAAUAUAAGUCUUUGUAGAGAUUCCACUAUGAACUACAUACGGAUGUAUAUAGAUGCAUUUUAGAGUGUAGAUUCACUCAUUUUGCUCCGUAUGUGGUCCAUAGUGAAAUCUCUCCAAAGACUUAUAUUUAGGAACGGAGGGAGUAUUUCAAAAUAUUGACUACAUACAUACUAAAAUGAGUGAACAUACAUACUAAAAUGUGUCUAGAUACAUAAGAAUCAAUAAAAAGCUAAAAGGUCUUAUAUUAGGAAACGGAGGGAGUAUUUGAGAUUGAAAGCAUGCAAAACAUUAAAGCUAAAUCUUGCAAAUACAAUUUUGAGAUAGUAUCGAACUUAUAACAUUCUCACUAUAGUUUUUCACCCUCAGUUUGUAACUAAAAUUUACAUAUCAGAUUUCUAAAUCCAAAGUGAGAACUGUUUACUAUACUACGUUAAGGUUUUAUGUUUACAUUUUUUCAUAAGAGAAUAAUAAAUCUGAACACAUAGUUUUUGUUUUUACCUUGGCUGCCUUGACUAUGGUCUUCCCUAAUACCUUUGUUAAACCUCUUCCAAGAUUCACCUCGCAUACAUCCCUUAUGCUCUAUCCAUUCAGACCAAAGUACCUAAAUCAAAGGUCUUCCACCUCGAGAACUUUUGGGUUGACCACCCAGGCUUCAGAGUUAUUCCAACAAGCUUGGAGUCUCCCUUCGAAACACUGAGACGGCAGAGGCACAUCUCUUAUAUUUUCUACUCCCUCCAUUCCAAAAUAAGUGUCGUGGUUUUAGUUCAAUUAGAGGAGCCUUUAAAAUCCGGAGCAGAAAUCCUUCCUGCCUCUCAUCGCUAUUGCAAAUGUGAACUUAGUCGUCAACCUUAUCAUCGGACUUGAAGAACAAAGGCCUAUUCUUGACUUUAGGAAUUUGCCAACCCCUAUAUAUCACCUCUGAACUGAUACGGAAUCUGCUAUUUUUGACUCUUUAGUUAAAUAUACGUAUCACAAUGUAAUCUGCUGUACAUGGCAGUCAUCAUUGGAGUGAAAUAGUGAAUCAUGACUGAACAAGGAGCAGUUCCAUCCAAAUAAAUAUCAUCUUUUGAAUGAAGGCAAUAUAAAUUGCUAUAAGUGGAACACUUACACAGUCAAUUUUAGUCUUGAUCAAUGGGGUGCAGAAGGAAGACGAUGGGCAACGAUGGUGGCGAAGCUCCAGCAUGCAGCGGCACCUACCUAGCUCGUAUAUUCCGUAUAUGAGGAACAGUACAACCUUGUUUGACAAAUGACAUUGAUUAUUGCUCCGCAGGUGCAGAGAUGGCCUGUUGGGCGUAGGCUCUUCCGUUCUGUGUGCCCGAGAUGUAGAAAUGGCUUGUUCGGCUGAGAUCAUUUGGUGUGGUCCCUCUUCGUACUACUCGUAGCGCGCACCGGUGAACUGAUCUAUGCAGUGGGCUUGUAAAAAAUUAAUUGCGUAAGUUGCUGACUUGUAGAAUUAUUAUGUUGAAACUCUUAUCCUGUCCUGGCUAAUGAAUGUUGGAUGUUGAACUGUAACUGCCUGCCUGGUGCUGCUUUCCUUCUUUUUUCUUUUCUUUGAGGCGGCGACUGGAGUAUUGGUUGAGUUUGUUAUCGUCUGAAGUAUUUUGUGAGUUAGCUUCUUAUUAUUCUGCUGAAAAAGGUUGGGCCUCUGAACUGAAGAUGUAAGAUAGUCUGCUCCGUGUUGCAAGCUGGUGUCAUUUGUUCUUACUAGGAUGGGCACAACCAAGAAGAAAAAUGAAA